AUGAGUGAGUUACUGGUGGUGAGGCAAAUGAGGGAGUUACUGGUUGUGUUUCUGGUAUAUUAUACCCUCACCUUCUGAAUUACAUAAUUAUCUUUUAUUUAUAUAACUUAUAAUAUACCUUUUCUCUGUCUUAGGGUAGCGGAGACACCUGUUGUGAAUGAUUCAAACAUAUAGCAUGACAAUGAACUCAAUGAUGAAGUUUUGGCCAAGUUAAACAUGUCCCAAAUUGUGCUUCAUAGGUAACAUGCCAAAAAAGAAGACAUGACACCCAAAGAAUUGGCUCGGAAAAAGUUUCCAGCAAAAUGUGUUUCUUUUCCAUUUGUGGUAGAUUUUGGUUCUGAUAUAAGUGGCACAUCAAAGUCAUCGCCCAAGUGCAUUUUUGGGGAGAAGUGUCCUUUUGUGAAUAACAUUAAUGAGUUUGAUCCCUAUUCACCUGAGGAUAGAGCAUUUCCUGAGUUUGCUGAUGAUGGGAUUAUUUCAACACAAAGGAAGUUCAGGGUGGAGUUUAGUUGUUGUUUAGCAAGUUCUAAAGUUUCUUUGGGUUGAUUCACUAAUGAUUGUUACUUUACUUCUAUUUUCCGGUCUCAGCACAUUGAUGUCAUAUUUUUUCUAUUUGAGAAAAAAGGGUAAACAUGAUCCUACUGUUGUACUACGGUUCACGACAACUCGUGGUUUUUUGGUGGCAAGAUUGCUGAAUUCUAUAAAAAGUAUGUCAAGGCUAACCAUGACGCUGCUAUUAUUCCUGAAGUUAAUGAGAUAUCUCAGUAUAUUCAAGGAUUUUAUUGUAAUGCAAAUGUACCAUGGGACACACUUGACCACAUGUUAAUUCUGAUUCAUAUCAAGGGUGGAAAAAAAGAUACAGGUCACUGGGUCUUGGGUGUGCUUACGUUCAAGGAUAGGUGCAUCCACUUAUAUGACUCUAACCGUGGUGCUUUGAAUGAUUCUUUUGUUACAAAAGCACUGUUGCCUUUUGCAUUCAUGAUACCUCAAUUCUUGACAAGUACCGGAUUCUAUGGCAAGUGGAAUGACAUUGAUUUAAAAAAUGAUGCCUAUGCUGAUAGAGCACUAUCUAACUCAUUGUUGGUCAAUUUGUUCACUGAUAUGCCAUAUCAGUUCAAUGCGAAUUGUGGUGCUUUUAUUGCUGCCUUUGCUGAGUAUUUCAUCAUAGGGAAAAAAUAGACAAGCAGAAUUUCGACAUCAACACAUAUCGCACGAGAAUUAGAUCCAAGUUGUGGCAAUAUGGAUUGAAAAAAAAAACAGCUUGGUGUCACAAGCGAUGAUGAGGUCAAGGGCAGGAUCGACAAGAAGAAGAAGAAGAAGAAGAAGAAGAAGAAGAAGAAGAAGAAGAAGAAGAAGAGAGGGCGUCCAAAAAAGCCGAGAAACGUAGUUCAUUUGUAGUUUCAAUGUACUUAUUAGGAGUAUUUGAUGUUCUGUUUUGUUAAAGUACCGCUUUUCAUGAAUCACAAUACCUUUUUGCUAUUCAUGAAAGCAAAAAACUAUUGUGACUAGUUAGUUUGUUAUGGAUAUUUUGUGUAAUUGACUUGUAAAAAUCUGAAGGCAUGGACCA